AUUGAACGCUGGCGGCAGGCUUAACACAUGCAAGUCGAGCGGAGAUGAGGUGCUUGCACCUUAUCUUAGCGGCGGACGGGUGAGUAAUGCUUAGGAAUCUGCCUAUUAGUGGGGGACAACAUUCCGAAAGGAAUGCUAAUACCGCAUACGCCCUACGGGGGAAAGCAGGGGAUCUUCGGACCUUGCGCUAAUAGAUGAGCCCAAGUCGGAUUAGCUAGUUGGUGGGGUAAAGGCCUACCAAGGCGACGAUCUGUAGCGGGUCUGAGAGGAUGAUCCGCCACACUGGGACUGAGACACGGCCCAGACUCCUACGGGAGGCAGCAGUGGGGAAGAUUGGACAAUGGGCGGAAGCCUGAUCCAGCCAUGCCGCGUGUGUGAAGAAGGCCUUUUGGUUGUAAAGCACUUUAAGCGAGGAGGAGGCUACCUGGAUUAAUACUCUAGGAUAGUGGACGUUACUCGCAGAAUAAGCACCGGCUAACUCUGUGCCAGCCGCCGCGGUAAUAC
rnacentral:rRNA from 1 species